rnacentral:rRNA from 1 species
AGUAAAUAGAUACCCUGGUAGUCCACACGGUAAACGAUGUAUGCUAGGUGUAGGAGGUAUCGACCCCUUCUGUGCCGGAGUCAAACACAAUAAGCAUUCCGCCUGGGGAGUACGGUCGCAAGAUUAAAACUCAAAGGAAUUGACGGGGGCCCGCACAAGCAGCGGAGCAUGUGGUUUAAUUCGAAGCAACGCGAAGAACCUUACCAGGUCUUGACAUCCAGUUAAAGCUUGUGAAAGCAAGUGUCCCUUCGGGGGAACUGAGACAGGUGGUGCAUGGUUGUCGUCAGCUCGUGUCGUGAGAUGUUGGGUUAAGUCCCGCAACGAGCGCAACCCUUGUGAAUAGUUACUAACGCGUAGAGGCGAGGACUCUAUUGAGACUGCCGUGGACAACACGGAGGAAGGUGGGGUACGACGUCAAAUCAUCAUGCCCCGUUAUGAUCUGGGCUACACACGUGCUACAAUGGCCGACACAGAGAGGUGCAAAGUCGUGAGAUGGAGCAGAUCUCAAAAAAACG